GCGCCUAUGGCCCAAUGGAUAAGGCGCCCGCCUACGGAGCGGGAUAUUCUGGGUUCGAGUCCCAGUAGGCGUA
rnacentral:tRNA from 1 species